rnacentral:rRNA from 1 species
AGUGAACGCUGGCGGUAGGCCUAACACAUGCAAGUCGAACGGCAGCACAGUAAGAGCUUGCUCUUACGGGUGGCGAGUGGCGGACGGGUGAGGAAUACAUCGGAAUCUACUUUUUCGUGGGGGAUAACGUAGGGAAACUUACGCUAAUACCGCAUACGACCUACGGGUGAAAGCAGGGGAUCUUCGGACCUUGCGCGAUUGAAUGAGCCGAUGUCGGAUUAGCUAGUUGGCGGGGUAAAGGCCCACCAAGGCGACGAUCCGUAGCCGGUCUGAGUGGAUGGUCAGCCACACUGGAACGGAGACACGGUCCAUACUCCUACGGGAGGCAGCAGUGGGGAAUAUUGGACAAUGGUCGCAAGCCUGAUCCAGCCAUACCGCGUGGGUGAAGGAGGCCUUCGGUUUGUAAAGCCCUUUUGUUGGGAAAGAACAGCAGCAGGUUAAUACCCCGCUGUUCUGACGGUACCCAAAGAAUAAGCACCGGCUAACUUCGUG